ACGGUAAAUUGUUUCGAAGACAUGAUUUGUGCAAAAUCAUUACUUGGAUCGAACUUAUAGACGGAUAUGGAAACUACGACGGAAAUGCCAACAACGACGACGGCAAGGGAAACUACGACUGAAAUGCCUACAACGACGGCGGAUAUGGAAACUACGACGGAAAUGCCAACAACGACG